CCUGUUUUCGCCAUUAAUUCUGGGGAGCUAUCAACGUAGCCGAACCUCCAGUGAAGAGUAAAUAGAUCGGACAAAGUUUGUUUUCGUUCGAAUAGCGAUGAUAACUUGCACUACCAGCACUUUUCCUUUCUUUCGGCCUUUAUCUAGCGGCCCGUUUUCGAGAGGUUUUCGUCAGAAUGAUACGUAGUCGCCUCAAAAGAAAUAAACGGCCCGCAUUGACUCAAUAUUACCUGAGGCAAGACUCGGAUGUGGGCGGAACUACAAUAGCACGUGCCUUUGAUAGACAGCUGUCUAAACAUGGUUGUUAUAGCAACGUACAUUUUAGCUAUGUCAUUUUUCGAUUCGUGACUUUCGAUUGGGUAAAAGUGUGUGCAGACCACGCCGAACCACGUGGGCUGCUUCAAGCCCCGUUUGAGAAGAGUCAUGUUUGUUGAUAAGGCCAAUCAUUGUGUACCAUAUUUUAGUAUGUGGAUCUACUGGGUCUCCGCGUUAUGGGGAACUACGUGUGAGUCUGUAGUAGUAGUAGUAGUAACAGCCAAGCCGCCAGGGUGUCCGACCCCUCGUGUCGUGUGGCGUUCUUCCCCACGGACAUGCUGGCUGCCAUUUACUUGAGCUUUCAACUGUGGUGAAAUUUCGAGAUCCUUUGUGUUCAUGGUUGUUCUCCAUUUUGAAUCUGCAGCUCACUAGUGGAUUGAAGGGCUAGCGAGCACAAGUGGAGUUUGAACUCGAAGCGGCAAGUUGUUGAUCGUGGGAUCACGUUUUGUUCUUUGUAAGAAUGUAGUGAUUAAACCUAGACAUGCUGGAGAGGGCUGUGAUCUUCCCUGUGGUGUUGUGUAACCAUACACGUUCGUAACAAAACUACAUGCUACAUCGUGUUUAGUGAAACCUUCUUACCCAACGGAUACACAGUGGCGACGUCAGGUACUUCAGAAAAGAUGUAUCCAAACAGACAUCCGGGAGAAGGAAAAAUGUUCCGUUGUAAUGCAAUGAACAGUGUCUAUGGAAUCCUGGAAGGCAGUGAGGGCUCUGCCCCACAGCCUGGUCAGCCUUUUAAAUUCACUGUUAGUGACACAUGCGACAGAAUCAAAGAAGAAUUCAACUUUUUACAAGCCCAGUACCACAG